rnacentral:rRNA from 1 species
UACAGAGGUCUCAAGCGUUGUUCGGAUUCAUUGGGCGUAAAGGGUGCGUAGGUGGCGGGGCAAGUCUGGUGUGAAAUCCCCGGGCUCAACCUGGGAACUGCAUCCGAAACUGCCUUGCUAGAGUAUGGGAGAGGGAAGUGGAAUUUCCGGUGUAGCGGUGAAAUGCGUAGAUAUCGGAAGGAACAUCAGUGGCGAAGGCGACUUCCUGGACCAAUACUGACGCUCAGGUGCGAAAGCGUGGGGAGCAAACAGG